AUUGAACGCUGGCGGCAGGCCUAACACAUGCAAGUCGAACGAGUGGCGGACGGGUGAGUAAUGUCUGGGAAACUGCCUGAUGGAGGGGGAUAACUACUGGAAACGGUAGCUAAUACCGCAUACCAUCGGAUGUGCCCAGAUGGGAUUAGCUAGUAGGGGGGGUAACGGCUCACCUAGGCGACGAUCCCUAGCUGGUCUGAGAGGAUGACCGGCCAAACUGGAACUGAGAAAGGCUCCAGACUCUUACGGGAGGCAGCAGUGGGGAAGAUUGCACAAUGGGCGCAAGCAUGAUGCAGCCAUGCCGGGUGGAUGAAGAAGGCCUUCGGGUUGUAAAGUACUUUCAGCGGGGAGGCGUUACCCGCAGAAGAAGCACCGGCUAACUCCGUGCCAGCAGCCGCGGUAAUU
rnacentral:rRNA from 1 species